rnacentral:rRNA from 1 species
GACGAACGCUGGCGGCGUGCUUAACACAUGCAAGUCGAACGGAAAGGCCUGCAGCUUGCUGCGGGUACUCGAGUGGCGAACGGGUGAGUAACACGUGGGUGAUCUGCCUUGCACUUCGGGAUAAGCUUGGGAAACUGGGUCUAAUACCGGAUAGGACAGCUGUUUAGUGUCAGUUGUGGAAAGUUUUUUCGGUGCAAGAUGAGCUCGCGGCCUAUCAGCUUGUUGGUGGGGUAAUGGCUUACCAAGGCGUCGACGGGUAGCCGGCCUGAGAGGGUGUACGGCCACAUUGGGACUGAGAUACGGCCCAGACUCCUACGGGAGGCAGCAGUGGGGAAUAUUGCACAAUGGGCGGAAGCCUGAUGCAGCGACGCCGCGUGGGGGAUGAAGGCCUUCGGGUUGUAAACUCCUUUCGACAGGGACGAAGCUUUUGUGACGGUACCUGUAUAAGAAGCACCGGCUAACUACGUG